GUGAAUCAUCGAAUCUUUGAACGCACAUUGCGCCCAUUAGUAUUCUAGUGGGCAUGCCUGUUCGAGCGUCAUUUCAACCCUUAAGCCUCUGUUGCUUAGUGUUGGGAGCCUACAGUAUUGUAGCUCCUCAAAGUUAGUGGCGGAGUCGGCUCACAGCUCUAGACGUAGUAAUUUUUUUCCUCGCCUAUGUGUUGUGCCGGUCCCUUGCCGUAAAACCCCCUAAUCUUUCAAGGUUGACCUCGGAUCAGGUAGGAAUACCCGCUGAACUUAAGCAUAUCAAUAAGCGGAGGA
rnacentral:misc_RNA from 1 species